GACGAACGCUGGCGGCGUGCUUAAUACAUGCAAGUCGAGCGAGGCCCAUCCGGUGGCAACACCGGGGAAGGCCGAGCGGCGAACGGGUGAGUAACACGUGAGCAACCUGCCCCGAAGUCUGGAAUAACAUCGGGAAACCGGUGCUAAUACCGGAUCGCCCCACCUGACCGCCAUAGAGUCGGGUGGAGGAAAGAAUUUAUUCGCUUCGGGAGGGGCGUCGCGGCCUAUCAGCUAGUUGGUGGGGUAACGGCCUACCAAGGCGUCGACGGGUAGCUGGUCUGAGAGGACGACCAGCCACACUGGGAC
rnacentral:rRNA from 1 species